rnacentral:rRNA from 1 species
UACGGAGGGUGCAAACGUUGCUCGGAAUCAUUGGGCGUAAAGCGCACGUAGGCGGUCGGCUAUGUCGGAUGUGAAAGCCUCGGGCUUAACCCGAGAAGGGCAUCCGAAACUGGCCGGCUUGAGUACGGAAGAGGGUCUCGGAAUUCCCGGUGUAGAGGUGAAAUUCGUAGAUAUCGGGAGGAACACCAGUGGCGAAGGCGGAGACCUGGGCCGAUACUGACGCUGAGGUGACGAAAGCGUGGGGAGCAAACAGG